rnacentral:tRNA from 1 species
GGGCGAGUAGCUCAAUGGAUAGAGCAUCAGCCUUCUAAGCUGACGGUUGCAGGUUCGAGCCCUGCCUCGCUCA